rnacentral:rRNA from 1 species
GGCUCACCUAGGCGACGAUCCCUAGCUGGUCUGAGAGGAUGACCAGCCACACUGGAACUGAGACACGGUCCAGACUCCUACGGGAGGCAGCAGUGGGGAAUAUUGCACAAUGGGCGCAAGCCUGAUGCAGCCAUGCCGCGUGUGUGAAGAAGGCCUUCGGGUUGUAAAGCACUUUCAGCGGGGAGGAAGGCGAUAAGGUUAAUAACCUUGGCGAUUGACGUUACCCGCAGAAGAAGCACCGGCUAACUCCGUGCCAGCAGCCGCGGUAAUACGGAGGGUGCAAGCGUUAAUCGGAAUUACUGGGCGUAAAGCGCACGCAGGCGGUCUGUCAAGUCGGAUGUGAAAUCCCCGGGCUCAACCUGGGAACUGCAUUCGAAACUGGCAGGCUAGAGUCUUGUAGAGGGGGGUAGAAUUCCAGGUGUAGCGGUGAAAUGCGUAGAGAUCUGGAGGAAUACCGGUGGCGAAGGCGGCCCCCUGGACAAAGACUGACGCUCAGGUGCGAAAGCGUGGGGAGCAAACAGGAUUAGAUACCCUGGUAGUCCACGCCGUAAACGAUGUCGAUUUGGAGGUUGUGCCCUUGAGGCGUGGCUUCCGGAGCUAACGCGUUAAAUCGACCGCCUGGGGAGUACGGCCGCAAGGUUAAAACUCAAAUGAAUUGACGGGGGCCCGCACAAGCGGUGGAGCAUGUGGUUUAAUUCGAUGCAACGCGAAGAACCUUACCUGGUCUUGACAUCCACAGAACUUUCCAGAGAUGGAUUGGUGCCUUCGGGAACUGUGAGACAGGUGCUGCAUGGCUGUCGUCAGCUCGUGUUGUGAAAUGUUGGGUUAAGUCCCGCAACGAGCGCAACCCUUAUCCUUUGUUGCCAGCGGU